CGAAUGCUGACAUAAGUAACGAUAAAGCGGGUGAAAAGCCCGCUCGCCGGAAGACCAAGGGUUCCUGUCCAACGUUAAUCGGGGCAGGGUGAGUCGACCCCUAAGGCGAGGCCGAAAGGCGUAGUCGAUGGGAAACAGGUUAAUAUUCCUGUACUUGGUGUUACUGCGAAGGGGGGACGGAGAAGGCUAUGUUGGCCGGGCGACGGUUGUCCCGGUUUAAGCGUGUAGGCUGGUUUUCCAGGCAAAUCCGGAAAAUCAAGGCUGAGGCGUGAUGACGAGGCACUACGGUGCUGAAGCAACAAAUGCCCUGCUUCCAGGAAAAGCCUCUAAGCAUCAGGUAACAUCAAAUCGUACCCCAAACCGACACAGGUGGUCAGGUAGAGAAUACCAAGGCGCUUGAGAGAACUCGGGUGAAGGAACUAGGCAAAAUGGUGCCGUAACUUCGGGAGAAGGCACGCUGAUAUGUAGGUGAAGUCCCUCGCGGAUGGAGCUGAAAUCAGUCGAAGAUACCAGCUGGCUGCAACUGUUUAUUAAAAACACAGCACUGUGCAAACACGAAAGUGGACGUAUACGGUGUGACGCCUGCCCG
rnacentral:rRNA from 1 species